GACGAACGCUGGCGGCGUGCUUAACACAUGCAAGUCGAACGGAAAGGCCCUGCUUUUGUGGGGUGCUCGAGUGGCGAACGGGUGAGUAACACGUGAGUAACCUGCCCUUGACUUUGGGAUAACUUCAGGAAACUGGGGCUAAUACCGGAUAGGAGCUCCUGCUGCAUGGUGGGGGUUGGAAAGUUUCGGCGGUUGGGGAUGGACUCGCGGCUUAUCAGCUUGUUGGUGGGGUAGUGGCUUACCAAGGCUUUGACGGGUAGCCGGCCUGAGAGGGUGACCGGCCACAUUGGGACUGAGAUACGGCCCAGACUCCUACGGGAGGCAGCAGUGGGGAAUAUUGCACAAUGGGCGGAAGCCUGAUGCAGCAACGCCGCGUGCGGGAUGACGGCCUUCGGGUUGUAAACCGCUUUCGCCUGUGACGAAGCGUGAGUGACGGUAAUGGGUAAAGAAGCACCGGCUAACUACGUGCCAGCAGCCGCGGUGAUACGUAGGGUGCGAGCGUUGUCCGGAUUUAUUGGGCGUAAAGGGCUCGUAGGUGGUUGAUCGCGUCGGAAGUGUAAUCUUGGGGCUUAACCCUGAGCGUGCUUUCGAUACGGGUUGACUUGAGGAAGGUAGGGGAGAAUGGAAUUCCUGGUGGAGCGGUGGAAUGCGCAGAUAUCAGGAGGAACACCAGUGGCGAAGGCGGUUCUCUGGGCCUUUCCUGACGCUGAGGAGCGAAAGCGUGGGGAGCGAACAGGCUUAGAUACCCUGGUAGUCCACGCUGUAAACGGUGGGUACUAGGUGUGGGGUCCAUUCCACGGGUUCCGUGCCGUAGCUAACGCUUUAAGUACCCCGCCUGGGGAGUACGGCCGCAAGGCUAAAACUCAAAGGAAUUGACGGGGCCCCGCACAAGCGGCGGAGCAUGCGGAUUAAUUCGAUGCAACGCGUAGAACCUUACCUGGGUUUGACAUGGAUCGGGAGUGCUCAGAGAUGGGUGUGCCUCUUUUGGGGUCGGUUCACAGGUGGUGCAUGGCUGUCGUCAGCUCGUGUCGUGAGAUGUUGGGUUAAGUCCCGCAACGAGCGCAACCCUUGUUCACUGUUGCCAGCACGUUAUGGUGGGGACUCAGUGGAGACCGCCGGGGUCAACUCGGAGGAAGGUUGGGGAUGACGUCAAGUCAUCAUGCCCCUUAUGUCCAGGGCUUCACGCAUGCUACAAUGGCUGGUACAGAGAGUGGCGAGCCUGUGAGGGUGAGCGAAUCUCGGAAAGCCGGUCUCAGUUCGGAUUGGGGUCUGCAACUCGACCUCAUGAAGUCGGAGUCGGUAGUAAUCGCAGAUCAGCAACGCUGCGGUGAAUACGUUCCCGGGGCU
rnacentral:rRNA from 1 species